UGGGGAAUUUUGCACAAUGGGGGAAACCCUGAUGCAGCGACGCCGCGUGAUUUAGAAGGCCUUUGGGCUGUAAAAAUCUUUUCUAUGGGAAGAAAAUGACAGUACCAUAGGAAUAAGGACCGGCUAAUUACGUGCCAGCAGCCGCGGUAAUACGUAAGGUCCGAGCGUUGUCCGGAAUCAUUGGGCGUAAAGGGUACGUAGGCGGGUAAACAAGUUAGAAGUGAAAUCCUAUAGCUCAACUAUAGUAAGCUUUUAAAACUGCUCAUCUUGAGGUAUGGAAGGGAAAGUGGAAUUCCUAGUGUAGCGGUGAAAUGCGCAGAUAUUAGGAGGAAUACCGGUGGCGAAGGCGACUUUCUGGCCAUAACCUGACGCUGAGGUACGAAAGCGUGGGUAGCAAACAGG
rnacentral:rRNA from 1 species